UCCUGCCUGACCGAGAGGGGUAUAAAAAGAGAACGACCCCUUCAUCAGGGUUCUUCUUUUUCCUUUUCAUUUUUCUUUGGACCGAGCGUUUAGCCUUUAGACUUAGACAGUUUUCAUUUCUUAUAUUUUUUGUUUGUAUUUAAUAAAAGUCAAAAUCCUAACCUUUGAUUAGGAGUUUGUAAAAAGACCGUCUAGCGUUUUGUUCGAAUUUGUCUGCCUCUCCUGUGUUGCUGAGAACCCUGGAUGCCUUGCAAUAGGGCCUCUGCUCCAAAGAUUUGACUUCGCUCCGGGCUCCAGAGAUGCUGCAGGGACAGGCACCCAUUUUCUGAUUUAAUGAGAAUAUUUCAGCAUCUCGACCCAGCUGAGGGAAUUCAGGCUGACAUCCAUAGAUAAUGAGUGUGACCUGUCCAUGUGGCUGCUUAAUGACGGUGUCUGUUCGCUGGAGGAAGUUUGAUGCCCACGUUGUGGGGCACGAGCACACUGCGACUAUGUUACCAGGGGUUCUAUUAUUUACCGUAUAUAUCUGCAUUUGAAUUAUCGCUGUUAAUUCUUGAAUUUCCCCUGGGGAUCAAUAAAGUAUCUAUCUAUCUAUC